AUGUCAAAGAGCACAAAAAAUGUAAUAAAGCUAAUAUUGUAAUUUACAUCUACAAAAUGGCAUCAAAUACCACCACAUGAAAUAAGAAGCCAAGUUCCUUUAAUAAAUGGGGAGGGCAAAAUUGACAAAAAGGCUUAUCUGAUAGGCUAAUUAUAUAACAAAUGAAGGUGUUAGACACCAGUUAUACUUCAAGCAAGUAUGCAGAUAUAAUAUUAAAUAUAGCUUCAAUAUGCACAAAAUAAAUAUAUAUAUACUUUUUUUUACAAAAUAUCACAGUAUUUUAUUACACAUUAUAGUACAAAUGUAUCAACACAUUUCAUAAUUGCCAUCAAUUUGAAAGUUUUAUUCCUUAGCUCAUCAUGCAGGGUUUUAAUAAAAAAAAAAAACACACACACAAAUUGAUAUAUUUUGAAAAUUUUGUUU
rnacentral:lncRNA from 1 species